AGAGUUUGAUCCUGGCUCAGAACGAACGUUGGCGGCGUGGAUUAGGCAUGCAAGUCGUACGAGAAACCCCCUUUCGGGGGGGAGUACAGUGGCGCACGGGUGAGUAACGCGUGGGUAAUCUACCUUCGAGUUUGGGAUAACCCCGCGAAAGCGGGGCUAAUACCGGAUGAAGUCCAUUUAUUUCGAAUGAGUGGAUGAAAGAUGGCCGCUCCAUGGAAGCUGUUGCUUGGAGAUGAGCCCGCGUACCAUUAGCUAGUUGGUGGGUAACGCCCACCAAGGCGACGAUGGUUAGCUGGUCUGAGAGGAUGAUCAGCCACACUGGAACUGAGACACGGUCCAGACUCCUACGGGAGGCAGCAGUGGGGAAUUUUGCGCAAUGGGGGAAACCCUGACGCAGCAACGCCGCGUGAGUGAUGAAGGCUCUUGGGUCGUAAAGCUCUGACAGAGGGAAAGAAGUGUACGGGGGCUAAUAUCCCUUGUACUUGACGGUACCCUCAAAGGAAGCACCGGCUAACUCCGUGCCAGCCGCCGCGGUAAUA
rnacentral:rRNA from 1 species